rnacentral:rRNA from 1 species
GACGAACGCUGGCGGCGUGCCUAAUACAUGCAAGUAGGACGCAGUUGCGAACGGGUGAGUAACGCGUAGGUAACUACCUAUUAGCUGGGGCUAACUAUUGGAAACGAUAGCUAAUACCGCAUACUAGUAGAUGGCCCUGCGUUGUAUUAGCUAGUAGGUAGGGUAAUGGCCUACCUAGGCAACGCUCCAUAGCCGACCUGAGAGGGUGAUCGGCCACCAUGGGACGGUGACACGGCCAAGACUCCUACGGGAGGCAGCAGGAGGGAAUCGUCGGAAAUGGGGGGAACCCUGACCGAGCAACGCAGCGGGAGUGAAGAAGGUUUUCGGAUCGUAAAGCUCUGUUGUUAAGGAAGCGGUACUUAACCAGAAAGGGACGGCUAAAUACGUGCCAGCAGCCGCGGUAAUAC